rnacentral:rRNA from 1 species
GGCGAACCGUCCGAACGUUAUUCGGAAUCACUGGGCUUAAAGGGUGCGUAGGCGGCGCGGAAAGUUGGGUGUGAAAUCCCUCGGCUCAACCGAGGAACUGCGCCCGAAACUACCGUGCUCGAGGGAGAUAGAGGUGAGCGGAACUUAGGGUGGAGCGGUGAAAUGCGUUGAUAUCCUAAGGAACACCGGUGGCGAAAGCGGCUCACUGGAUCUCUUCUGACGCUGAGGCACGAAAGCUAGGGUAGCGAACGGG